UUCAACUCGAAUGGUUUCACACACGCCGACCGUUUAUCCGUGCGUGCGUCACUGAAGCGCGAGCCCGCUGCUCGUAGCAGGAUCGCGGCACUCGUGCGAUACCUAAACUAUAAUAGCAUCUACAUCAUCAUAUGUGCCGCAUCUAAUACCGAAAUUAUCGAGCGAUGCGGCACACGCGGAGCGCAGGUGCGUGCGAGAAUCGAGCUUAAAAAACGUAAUUCCAAAUCGUCGUGGGAAUAUUGGAAUUAUUUGGAGUGAGUUUUAGUGAUGGGUUUGGAUGAAAAAGUGAACACGCGAGGGCAACAGUGGCCGGACCUUGAUGAACUUAAUAAUUGCAGCUGAUUGGCAAUUGAUGAUGGAACAUGGAGGAAGGAAAAGUGCGCUCGUCGACAACGAGAACGCAGCGAAUGUUUCGGGGAGAGGUCGGAUCGAGCUGAGAGAAAGGAAUUGAGGCGCGGGGAGUGCGUUACUCGACGAAAUACACGAAGAAAGGGGCAGGGGCGAAGCGAGUGUAAGAGAGAAAUGUGACGUCGCAAUGGCAGGAGUGAGGAAUGGAGUCAAGUCAGAGGAUAGAAUGAAGUAGCUGCGCGAGACUGCACAGACCGUGGGUACAUUCGCGUGCGUAUAUACGUUUGCAGAACGAUGCGAAAGGGCUGAGGGAGGCGCGGGAAAAGAUGCUCGCAGUGCGAGAGAACGCGUCCGCACGGACCUCAAGACGGAUGAGAUCAGUUAAACCAAACUGCCUUCGUGACAAAUCCUCCGCUUCCUCUGAUCUCGCUCUUCGCCAUACCAAGUGGGAAAGAUGUGCGAAAAGAGAGAAUAAGAGAGAGAGAGAGGAGAAAUGGUGUGCUCGAGGCGACCAAGAGAAAGAGGAUGUUACUUAUGUACGAGAGAAUAUCAAGCUGGCGACAAGAGAAGUGCGUUUGUCAGGCUUCGUUCUCUCUCUGUGCACAUUUCGUAAGGGCACAAUCGACUCGAAGGAGAGAAUUAAUAGCGACGAUUGCAUCAUCCAAAAGGCUCGAUAAAAAGCCAAGCUGUUGUAAGAACUUUGUACGAUAUGUUGAGUACAUCGACUGCGAUAAAAAUUGCAUCGUCGACGCGCGCGCGUCAGUACAUUGCUCUACGGAACGAAACGCCAUUUUCUAACGACCAAAAACCCCCAUUUUCCUUCGUUUUACAUCUAAUUAUCGACUGCGAAGUUAUUCAUCAGAAUCUUUGCGUAUCGGCGCCCUGAAAAAACUGCGUCUGGGUACAAAACUCUGUUAGUUCGUUACCAUUUUUUUUCUUGUGUCCCACUUAACUCGAUCCCCAUAGCAAUAAGUAUUCAAUAAAAUUACUUCUCCAACGGCGUACGGACUCCACCCGUGUACUGGUUUUAUGCUAAAAUUUACGACUUCUGAGAAAACGGGGGCAUACAUUCGUGUGCGGAAAUCCCUUCGCUAUCAUACUAUAAAAAUACAUAAUUACGCUGGUUGCUUUCGAUUCAGCGUUCCCCAGCAUCAACAAUCAUGAUCGCACUCUUUUGAGGCUUUUUAUAAACGAACGCGUCUCGCGUUUCUAUAUCGAAGAACUUUGUUUUUAAUAAGGCCUUACACUUGUGAUAGGCGAGAAAAUCGGAAAUUUUAUUUAUUAAAUAUUCUUCAAUAUUAUUUAGUAUUAAUUAAAUAUUCUCUUAUACUUGAAUCUUCAAACGCGAUUAUCUCAGAAUUGUGUUUUUUGAAAAAUACCUUUGCAGUGGACGCGAUUACUAAAAACCUAUUAAUCCGAUUCACACGAAAUUUGUACCACUUAUUUAUUAGUCGUCAUUUUUUUUAAAUUAACAUUUUUUAAAAUCCUUCGUCCAGGCCCGAGCUAUUAUUAUCAUAAAUA
rnacentral:lncRNA from 1 species